ACAGCUACAGUGUACUCACGUACAUAAAAUAAAUAAAUAGAUCUUAAAAAAGAAAAGAAAAGAAAGAAGUAAUAGUUCCAGGAAGGCCUGGAACGGACUGAAUUUACUAGGCCCCUCGCUCCCCAAGAGUAAACAGCAAAGCCUGCUGAGAGUCACUCAGCCCAUCUCCUCAAAAGAAUCAGAGACAAACUCAGCCGGAGCAAAGGCCAGUCACGCCGCCUGGAACAGAGCCAAGCCAAAUCGCACACAAGAAGAGAAGACCAACAACCUGCUAGGUAAUCCCAAUAAAACUCAUUAGUUUGCCAAAUUGGACUUGGAUGGUAUUCACGCUCCAGAUGAUCUGCUGGGAGCCCCGCCUCUACUCUCUACUCUGAGUGAGUAGACAUAUUGGCUCACAUCUCCCCCAGGAAAGUCUGUCACACAAGUAAAAAUCUACGCAACCGUUUAAAAUGCUGGGACAGGGCUGGGACAGGGCUGGGACAGGGCUGGGACAGGGCUGGGGACGUGGCUGGGUUUGUACAGUGCUUGCUUACCUAGAGUUUAAAAUGCUGGGACAGGGCUGGGACAGGGCUGGGGACAUGGCUGGGUUUGUACAGUGCUUGCUUACCUAGAGUUUCAGCACCACCCACGUACACCAUGUUCAUGCCUAUAACCCCAAACCUCAGAGGUGGAGAGCGGAGAAUCAGGAGUUCAUGUGCAUAAUCCUUGGCUACAUGGGAGUUUGAAACUGACCUGAGCCAUAUGAGACCCCCAUUCCCUCCACGAGACAGUUGGGGCAGGGGAACAAAGCAUAAAAUGUUGGAACAAGCUCCCUAUUUGGCAAUUUUGAUGCCUUAACACUGACAGCAGUGACUCAUUCUUGCUCAAAGCAAGAGAUUUCACUCGGGAUUCUAAAGUCAACCUGUUCUCACUGAUUGGGCCUUUUGCUAAAGUAAGGCCGAGGCUUACAGAUCCUUGUUCAGCUUUGAAAAACAGCAAUCACCCUUGAAGACAGAAACAAACAAACAAACAAACAAACAAACAAAAAAAUGGCGGGGCUGGGGCUGGAAGCAGGCCACAAGGAGGCAGCUGCCCCCCCCUCCUCUUUGCUCCCUUGCCCUCUUCUAACAGAAUUCAUAUGUAGAUUUACCACAGACAAGGAAAUACUUAAAUAAUAAGCAAGCAUGUGUGUAUUACUUAGGGGUUGUCGACCUUUAUCUCAAAGUCAAACCCCUGAAGUCUGCCCCUCACCCACCCUGGUGGAGAAAACUCGCAGAGGCCCUGGCAGAGUAGCAGCCUUGCCAGGGUCCCUGGGUGAUGGUCCACGUUGACUGACUGGAUUUAGAAUCACCACGGAAACACAACUCUGGGCAUGACUGUGAGGCACUUUCUAGAUCCCAUUUAUCGAAGUGGGAGGGUCUACCCUAAAUGUGGCUAGUACCAUUUCAUGGGGAGCAGGAGGAGCAGGCUGAAUUUUAAAAAGUGAGCUGAUAACUUGUGCCGGCUAGUUUUAUGUCAGCUUUACACAGCUAGAGUCAUUGAGAGGGGAACUCUCAAUUGAAGAAAAUGUCCCCUGAGACUGGACAGUGGACAAGUUCUGUAGGACAUUUUUUACCUUAGUGAUUGGUGGGGAGGGCACAGACCGUUGCGGUGGGGCCAUUCCUGGGCUCAUGGCCCAGGAUACUCAAGGCAAGCAGGCUGGGGACGCCUCGGGGAGCCAGCCAGGCAGGAAGCCCCGCCCCACACGCACACUUCCAACCCUGUGCGUGACCUUUGUUUAGGUUCUUGCUGCCUUGACUUCUCUUCAUGAGGGACUACGAUCGGAACAUGAGAGAUGAAAUAAACCCUUGCUCCCCCGGUUGCUUUUGGUCGUGGCGUUUGAUCCGGCGGCAGGAACCUAAGACAGUGAGGAUCGCGCGCUCUGCUUUCCCAGUGCAGACGCAACGCACCCGGCUGUUCCGACCACUGAGGAUCUCCUUGCAGUGAUGAGCUGUGAGCCAAACUUUCCCAUCCUGAACUUCCUUCUGUCUGCUAUCCUGCCACAGAACAAGACAGUCACCAAUACACUGAGGAAUUCAAGGCUAAUUAGAGAAAAUUUGACUUUGACAAACUACCCUGAUCUUGGAGCAGCAGCCUGAUUUGUAGCACUAGGGCACUCAGGGAUCGACUCUUCCCACCAGGCUCCUUGCUCCCGUGGAGCCCCUAACCUCCCUGCAGGAAAUCCUGAGAGACUCAAUGUGUGCUCCUGACACAGCAAGACCACAUCAAGAACCCUAGCCUCAAGACACAUGCAAAAAAAAAUGGCAAACCCCAUCCUGCCCUAGCUCAGAAAAGUCCUAAAGCCUUCUGAAGGGUCUGAGUACGGGAAGUGAAGGUGUCUGCAGAAAAUGCCCCCAAUAGCUCCCCAGAUCCUGUAUCUAUGGCCCAAAGACUUCUCCUCUGAAGAGACUGCUCCUACCACCAUGAGCUAAACCUGUCCCCUCGAUCCAGAUGUACACUAUAAACCUUCCUUGUUUAUGUUAGACCCACCUCCCUUUCUAACUCUAUAAUAAAACAGAAUUUCUGGGAUACUGCUUCUCCAUCAGAGAGCUCUGUCUACCUAC
rnacentral:sRNA from 1 species